GACGAACGCUGGCGGCGUGCUUAACACAUGCAAGUCGAACGCUGAAGCUUGGUGCUUGCACUGGGUGGUUGAGUGGCGAACGGGUGAGUAAUACGUGAGUAACCUGCCCUUGACUCUGGGAUAAGCCUGGGAAACUGGGUCUAAUACUGGAUACGACAUGCCACUGCAUGGUGGUGUGUGGAAAGGGUUUUACUGGUUUUGGAUGGGCUCACGGCCUAUCAGCUUGUUGGUGGGGUAAUGGCCUACCAAGGCGACGACGGGUAGCCGGCCUGAGAGGGUGACCGGCCACACUGGGACUGAGACACGGCCCAGACUCCUACGGGAGGCAGCAGUGGGGAAUAUUGCACAAUGGGCGGAAGCCUGAUGCAGCGACGCCGCGUGAGGGAUGACGGCCUUCGGGUUGUAAACCUCUUUCAGCACGGAAGAAGCGAGAGUGACGGUACGUGCAGAAGAAGCGCCGGCUAACUACGUG
rnacentral:rRNA from 1 species